CUUCCGCCCCGCCCCUCUGAGCCGAGAACCAAUGAGCUCUGCGGAACGCCUGAGUGGCGUCCGAUCCGACCAAUGAGAACGCUGGGAAGGGCGAGGGGCGGAGCGGGUGCCGCGCGGCGCCGCCAUUUUGCGGCGGAGAAACGGCGGCGGCAGCGGCGGCGGAGAGCGGAGCCCAUCCCAGUCCAUCCCAGUUCAUCUCAUCUCAUCCCAGUAUCAUCCUAGUGCCUCCUAGUCCAUCCCAGUUCAUCCCAGUGCCUCCUUUGUGUCUUCCCAGUCCAUCCCAGUCCGUCCCAGUUCAUCCCAGUUCAUCCCAGCACCACCAUAUUGCCUUCCCAGUUCAUCCCAUUCCAUCCCAGUGCCUCCUUUGUGUCUUCCCAGUGCCUUCCCAGUUCAUCCCAUUUCAUCCCAGUUCAUCCCAGUGCCUCCUUUGUGCCAUCCCAGUUCAUCCCAGUGGCUUCCCAGUGCCCCCCAGUUCAUCCCAGUGCCUCCUUUGUGUCUUCCCAGUUCAUCCCAGUCCAUCUCAUUUCAUCCCAGUUCAUCCCAGUGCCUCCUUUGUGUCUUCCCAGUUCAUCCCAGUCCAUCCCAGUUCAUCCCAGUUCAACCCAGUGCUUCCUUUGUGUCUUCCCAGUUCAUCCCAGUUCAUCCCAGU
rnacentral:lncRNA from 1 species